rnacentral:tRNA from 1 species
AGUCUUAUAGUUAAAUAGUUUAAUAAUAUAAAAUUGCAAAUUUUAAGAUGAAAUCAAUUCUAAGGCUU